UCAAUAGCGAGUUUGAUCCUGGCUCAGGACGAACGCUGGCGGCGCGCCUAAUGCAUGCAAGUCGAACGGUCCUCUCCACCUUCGGGUGGUUAGGGUAGUGGCAAACGGCUGAGUAACGCGUAAGGAACCUGACCCCGGGAGGGGGAUAACCCAUCGAAAGGUGCGCUAAUACCCCGUACGCUGCCCCGAUUCAUUCGGGGUAGGAUAGCUCCGAUUCGUCGUGGCGCCCGGGGAGGGUCUUGCGUCCUAUCAGGUUGUUGGUGAGGUAACGGCCCACCAAGCUUAUGAUCGAUAGGGGCCUUGAGAGAGGUAACCUCGAGAAGGGCACUGAGAUACUGGCCCUAGCCCUACGGGGUGCAGCAGCAGGGGAUUUUGCGCAAUGGGCUAAAGCCUGACGCAGCGACGCCGCGUGGGGGAAGAAGGUCUUCGGGCUGUAAACCCCUUUUCUGGGGGAAGAGCAAGGACGGUACCCCAGGAAUAAGCCCCGGCUAACUACGUGCCAGCAGCCGCGGUAAUACGUAGGGGGCGAGCGUUAUCCGGAUUUACUGGGCGUAAAGGGCGUGUAGGCGGUUUGGCAAGUCGGUCAUGAAAGCUCCCGGCUCAACUGGGAGAGGUUGUUCGAUACUGCUAGACUAGAGGGCAAGAGAGGGAGGUGGAAUUCCCGGUGUAGUGGUGAAAUGCGUAGAUAUCGGGAGGAACACCAGUGGCGAAGGCGGCCCUCUGGGCUGUACCUGACGCUGAGGCGCGAAAGCGUGGGGAGCGAACCGGAUUAGAUACCCGGGUAGUCCACGCCCUAAACUAUGGAUGCUGGGUAUGAGGGGUAUCGAACCCCCUCGUGCCGAAGCUAACGCGUUAAGCAU
rnacentral:rRNA from 1 species